UACGGAGGGGGCAAGCGUUGUUCGGAGUCACUGGGCGUAAAGAGCUCGUAGGCGGCAGUGUAAGUCGGGAGUUAAAGGCAACAGCUUAACUGUUGUAAGGCUUUUGAAACUACAUUGCUAGAGUACCAGAGAGGUAAGCGGAAUUUCCUGUGUAGCGGUGAAAUGCGUAGAUAUAGGAAGGAACACCGGUUGCGAAGGCGGCUUACUGGCUGGUAACUGACGCUGAGGAGCGAAAGCGUGGGUAGCAAAC
rnacentral:rRNA from 2 species